GCGUCCGUAGCUCAAUGGUAGAGCACGCGUCUUAUACACGCGUGGUUCCUGGUUCAAGUCCAGGCGGACGCA
rnacentral:tRNA from 1 species